rnacentral:rRNA from 1 species
CUACGUGCCAGCAGCCGCGGUAAUACGGAAGGUCCAGGCGUUAUCCGGAUUUAUUGGGUUUAAAGGGAGCGUAGGCCGCCUCUUAAGCGUGUUGUGAAAUGCGGGUGCUCAACAUCCGACUUGCAGCGCGAACUGGGGGGCUUGAGUGCGCCGAAAGUAGGCGGAAUUCGUGGUGUAGCGGUGAAAUGCUUAGAUAUCACGAAGAACUCCGAUUGCGAAGGCAGCUUACUGUAGCGCAACUGACGCUGAUGCUCGAAAGCGUGGGUAUCGAACAGGAUUAGAUACCCUGGUAGUCCACGCGGUAAACGAUGGAUGCUCGUUGUUGGCCAUUUAGGUCAGUGACCAAGCGAAAGCGUUAAGCAUCCCACCUGGGGAGUACGCCGGCAACGGUGAAACUCAAAGGAAUUGACGGGGGCCCGCACAAGCGGAGGAACAUGUGGUUUAAUUCGAUGAUACGCGAGGAACCUUACCCGGGCUUGAAUUGCAGAGG